rnacentral:misc_RNA from 1 species
AAGUCGUAACAAGGUUUCCGUAGGUGAACCUGCGGAAGGAUCAUUAACACGUAUCCACGUAUUAACCAAAUGUGAACUUGUUUUCAACUCCCUGUAUUUACACAUGAAUUGGAAAGAAAUUAGAAUGUUUUGAAUGGGACUUUCGGGUCGUCAUUCUAUUUCUUAUACGUUUGACUUCGGUCAGGCAUACAAUUGUAGUGCAAAUCAGGCAAAUUUCUUAUGUGUUUAAUCCCCAUUUAAAGUUAAACACAUGAGAGCUACUAAUAACUUAUUUCACCCCCUUUUUGCUAGUUGACUUUUUAUAUGUUGUUAUCUUUAUAGAAUUAAUUUUCUGUAAUGAUCUCACACGUUUAAUUACUUGAACGUUAAAAAUACAACUCUUAGCAAUGGAUAUCUAGGUUCUC